rnacentral:rRNA from 1 species
UACGAAGGGGGCUAGCGUUGCUCGGAAUCACUGGGCGUAAAGCGCACGUAGGCGGAUCUUUAAGCCAGGGGUGAAAUCCUGGAGCUCAACUCCAGAACUGCCUUUGAUACUGAGGAUCUUGAGUCCGGGAGAGGUGAGUGGAACUCCGAGUGUAGAGGUGAAAUUCGUAGAUAUUCGCAAGAACACCAGUGGCGAAGGCGGCUCACUGGCCCGAGUACUGACGCUGAGGCACGAAAGCGAUGGGGAGCAAACGGG